rnacentral:rRNA from 1 species
ACGAACGCUGGCGGCGUGCCUAACACAUGCAAGUCAACUUGACUGAAGGAGCAAUCUGACAGUAGAGUGGCGCAAGGUGCGUAACGCGUAAGUAACUUGCCCCAAGGUAAGGAAUAACGUCGAGAAAUCGGCGCUAAUACCUCAUAAUGCAGCGGAUCCGCAUGGAUAUGUUGUUAAAGGUUUACCGCCUUGGGAUAGGCUUGCGUCUGAUUAGCUAGUUGGUGUGGUAACGGCACACCAAGGCUACGAUCAGUAACUGGUCUGAGAGGAUGAUCAGUCACACUGGAACUGAGACACGGUCCAGACUCCUACGGGAGGCAGCAGUGAGGAAUAUUGGGCAAUGCUCGAAAGAGUGACCCAGCAACGCCGCGUGGAGGAUGAAGGUAUUCUAUAUCGUAAACUCCUGUGAGAGCAGACGAAAGACAGAUUAUUAAUCUGGAUGACUGUAUGCUCAGAGGAAGCCCCGGCUAACUACGUG